CAUCAGUGUCUCUACUCCUUCCAUUCUUUUCUGGACACUUAUUCCAGGACAGACUUGAAUACGCCACAUUUGCAAGUUGACCACAUAAACACUGGCCUUUUCUGGAGACUACCGGAACCUUCUUGAAGCUUGACACCUGCAGUCACCCUCUGAGACCAGCAAGUAGGGUGCUUAAGGAAAUGAACCGCCCUGGAGGAAAGAUGGAGCCACUCAUCUGCUUUGGAGUUCCUUCUUCAGGAUCCAAGAUGGACAGUCUAAAGGAGGUGCCUCAUCAGCCAUCAGCUCCCUCAAGUUGACCUGCAGCUUCCUUUGUUAUGUGCCACCUUCUGCCCUGUGCAGGAGCAACUGAUGCUGUCUAUCUUUCAGAUCAUUCAGAGCAUAAGGAUGGGGAUGUGAGGAGGCCCAGACAUCUGGCUCUGUGCCCUCCCACCGGAGAGGGGAAGAGCUCGCAGGCCUUUGGCAGGUACCUGUGGGAAGCAAACCAGUCACACAGAAGAGAAAGAAGGGUCCCCUAUUGUUCCUGGUCACUUCAGCGAGGGAGUCAGAUCAGAUUGCCUUCUCACAGGACCUCUCAGUGCAUCCGUGUCUCCGAGCAGAAAGGACACUCUGCUUUUCUGUUGGCCGGAUUGUUAGCCAAGCGGGUCAUCUGCAGCAGCACUGUCUGUCUGGUUCCCUCCCUGAGUUUCACUAAUGUGUGCAUGUGGCCCCUGAAUGACCACUGGUUUUCUGUCUACUGAUAAAAUCUCUUCUCUGUCAGAAAUUGGUUUUACAAAUAAAUGUCUUCAUUCAAGCUUA